rnacentral:rRNA from 1 species
GAUGAACGCUGGCGGCGUGCUUAACACAUGCAAGUCGAACGGUAAAGCGCCUUCCUUUUUGGUGUGUGUGGAUGAGUGGCGAACGGUGCGGUAACACUUGAGUAACCUGCCCCCUUCUGCUGGAUAACCGCAUGAAAGUGUGUCUAAUACCGGAUAUUCUGGGGCGGUCGCAUGAUGGGUCUUUGAAAGAUCGUGUUUCGGUGGGGGAUGGGCUGGUGGCCUAUCAGCUUGUUGGUGGGGCGAUGGCCUACCACGACGGUGACGGGUAGACGGCCUGAGAGGGUGGACGGUCUCACUGGGGCUGAGAGACAGCGCAGACUCCUACGGGAGGCAGAGGUGGAGAGUAUAGCAGGAUGGGGAGAAGCCUGAUGCCGAGACGCGGCGUGAGGGAUGGAGGGCUUCUGGUUGUGGACAUCUUUCGCUAGUGAAGCAGGACUGCCUGGUUUGUGGGUGGGUUGACGGUAGCUGAAUAAGAAGCACCGGCUAACUACGUG